rnacentral:rRNA from 1 species
UACGUAGGGUGCGAGCGUUGUCCGGAAUUACCGGGCGUAAAGAGCUCAUAGGUGGUUUGUCGCGUUGUUCGUGAAAACUCACAGCUCAACUGUGGGCGUGCGGGCGAUACGGGCAGACUGGAGUACUGCAGGGGAGACUGGAAUUCCUGGUGUAGCGGUGGAAUGCGCAGAUAUCAGGAGGAACACCGGUGGCGAAGGCGGGUCGCUGGGCAGUAACUGACGCUGAGGAGCGAAAGCGUGGGGAGCGAACAGG